rnacentral:rRNA from 1 species
UACGAAGGGGGCUAGCGUUGCUCGGAAUCACUGGGCGUAAAGCGCACGUAGGCGGCUUUUUAAGUCAGGGGUGAAAUCCUGGAGCUCAACUCCAGAACUGCCUUUGAUACUGAGAAGCUUGAGUCCGGGAGAGGUGAGUGGAACUGCGAGUGUAGAGGUGAAAUUCGUAGAUAUUCGCAAGAACACCAGUGGCGAAGGCGGCUCACUGGCCCGGUACUGACGCUGAGGUGCGAAAGCGUGGGGAGCAAACAGGGAUUAAGAAACCC